rnacentral:rRNA from 1 species
AGCAGCCGCCGCGGUAAAACGGAGGGGGCUAGCGUUGUUCGGAAUUACUGGGCGUAAAGGGCUCGCAGGCGGUUUCUUAAGUCUGAUGUGAAAGCCCCCGGCUCAACCGGGGAGGGUCAUUGGAAACUGGGAAACUUGAGUGCAGAAGAGGAGAGUGGAAUUCCACGUGUAGCGGUGAAAUGCGUAGAGAUGUGGAGGAGCACCAGUGGCGAAGGCGACUCUCUGGUCUGUAACUGACGCUGAGGAGCGAAAGCGUGGGAGCGAACAGGAUUAGAUACCCGCGUAGUCCCUGUCUCUUAUACA